UGAAUAGCUAACUGAAAUCACAUGAGUCAUGCUUUAUGGUGGUGAUUGUGAUAACGUAAGGGAAAAAAAUGAUAUUACCUUACUAUUAGUGUUGUCCAAAACUGGUGCCAGAAGACUCGGUAAGGCCAGAGACGCAAACGUUAGUCGUCCUAAUCAGGCGUAAAGGGUUUGUAGGCUGCUUUAAAACUUUUAUCUUUAAAAAGCUCAGUAUUAUAAUAUAACCUAUUACUUCUAAAGUAAAAAGGCACAAAAUAAUAAUUGUAAAGAAAAAUAAAUUAAAGCUAGAAUUAAAUAGGGGAUAAACCAAAUAAUACUUAGAGUAGGGAUGAAAUCCGCAGAUACUAAGGGGAAUACUAAGGGUGAAAGCUUUUUAUCUACUAAUAAUUGACGCUGAGAAACGAAGGUGAGAAUAGGAAAUAGGAUUAGAUACCCAGAUACCUCUCACUGUCAACGAUGAAUGGUGGUUGUUAGUUUUAAUAAAAAUUAGUAACGAUGUUAACACGAUAACCAUUUCCGCCUUGCGAGUAACGGUUGCAAAACUGAAACCAAAAAAAUUAGUCGGUCUCGAAGCAAACGAAGUGAAG
rnacentral:rRNA from 1 species